AUUGAACGCUGGCGGCAUGCCUUACACAGGCAAGUCGAACGGUAACAGGUUAAGCUGACGAGUGGCGAACGGGUGAGUAAUGUAUCGGAACGUGCCCAGGCGUGGGGGAUAACUGCUCGAAAGAGCAGCUAAUACCGCAUACGACCGGAGGGUGAAAGCGGGGGAUCGCACGACCUCGCGCGAUUGGAGCGGCCGAUAUCGGAUUGGGUAGUUGGUGAGGUAAAGGCUCACCAAGCCGACGAUCUGUAGCUGGUCUGAGAGGACGACCAGCCACACUGGGACUGAGACACGGCCCAGACUCCUACGGGAGGCAGCAGUGGGGAAUUGUGGACAAGGGGCGCAAGCCUGAUCCAGCCAGGCCGCGUGCGGGAAGAAGGCCUUCGGGUUGUAAACCGCUUUUGUCAGGGAAGAAAAGGUUCUGGCUAAUACCUGGGACUCAUGACGGUACCUGAAGAAUAAGCACCGGCUAACUACGUGCCAGCAGCCGCCGUAACAC
rnacentral:rRNA from 1 species